rnacentral:rRNA from 1 species
UCCAGACUCCUACGGGAGGCAGCAGUGGGGGAUAUUGCACAAUGGGGGAAACCCUGAUGCAGCAACGCCGCGUGAGUGAAGAAGUAUUUCGGUAUGUAAAGCUCUAUCAGCAGGGAAGAGAAUGACGGUACCUGACUAAGAAGCCCCGGCUAACUACGUGCCAGCAGCCGCGGUAAUACGUAGGGGGCGAGCGUUAUCCGGAUUUACUGGGUGUAAAGGGAGCGUAGACGGCUGGUCAAGUCUGAAGUGAAAGCCCGGGGCUUAACCCCGGAACGGCUUUGGAAACUGAGCAGCUAGAGUGCUGGAGAGGUAAGCGGAAUUCCUAGUGUAGCGGUGAAAUGCGUAGAUAUUAGGAGGAACACCAGUGGCGAAGGCGGCUUACUGGACAGUAACUGACGUUGAGGCUCGAAAGCGUGGGGAGCAAACAGGAUUAGAUACCCUGGUA